AGUAUAAAAAUACUCCAAUGUUAGUAUUUUUUAUUUGCAUUAGGAUUACGGAUAUGCCUAAGUCUUUCCGCAGCAGAUGGAAAAACUGAAACUUUUACCUUCUCGUUUCCCACCCUAAUCUAAGUGAACCUGCACAUCUGGCAUGGAAUUUCAUGUGAAGUGUUACAUUAUAGAUUUGGUUUGUUGAAGAAUAUUAAGUUGAAUUUUUUUUUAAGGGAAUUGAAGCUGCUUUUGUUUUAUUUUUUGAUAGAUACUCCAUAUUGUAAUAGGGUGAACGCCUAUCAUUUGGCUUUGGUUUCUGAUAAUUUAAAUGAAAUUCCUGUCUUUU